UUUAGUAGCAAUCACCGGCCAAGUCCCUCGGAGAAUGAUCGGCACUGAUGCUUUCCAAGAAACUCUCAUUGUUGAGGUAACAAGGUCUAUUACAAAACAUAAUUAUCUUGUUCUUGAUAUAGAUGAUAUACCUAGGAUCGUUAGUGAAGCUUUCUUUUUAGCUACAUCUGGCAGACCAGGCCCUGUAUUGAUUGAUGUACCUAAGGAUAUACAGGAACAACUUGCUGUUCCUAAUUGGAACCAGCCUUUUAGAUUGUCUGGUUAGAUGUCUAGGUUGCCUAAGGAACCCAGUGAGGCUCAUUUAGAGCAGAUUGUGAGGUUGAUUUUUGAAUCUAAGAAGCCUGUUUUGUAUGUUGGUGGUGGGUGUUUGAACUCUGGUGAGGAGUUGAAGAGGUUUGCCGAGCUUACGGGAAUACCCGUCACGUGUACGUUGAUGGGUCUCGGCUCGUUUCCGACUUCGGAUCCGUUGUCGUUACAAAUGCUUGGGAUGUAUGGAACUGUGUAUGCUAACUAUGCUGUGGAUAAGAGUGAUUUGUUGCUUUCUUUUGGUGUGCGGUUUGAUGAUCACGUGACCGGGAAACUUGAGGCUUUUGCCAGCAGGGCCAAGAUUGUGCAUAUCGAUGUCGAUUCAGCAGAGAUAGGGAAGAAUAAACAACCUCAUGUGUCGGUUCAUUCCGAUGUGUAAUUGGCAUUGAAGGGGAUAAACAGGAAAUUAGAGAGUAAAGGAGCUAAGCUUGAACUUGAUUAUACGGCUUGGUGGGAGGAGUUAAUUGAGCAGAAGGUGAAAUACCCUUUGACUUAUAAGACCUUUGGUGAAGCAAUUCCGCCUCAAUACGCUGUUCAGCUUCUCUAUGAAUUAACCGAUGGGAAUGUGAUUAUAAGUACCGGUGUCCUUCAACAUCAAAUGUGGGCUGCUCAGUUUUACAAGUACAAGAGGCCGAGACAAUGGUUGACAUCUGGGGGAUUUGGGGCGAUGGGAUUUGGAUUGCCUGCUGCCAUCGGAGCUGCUGUUGCGAAUCCAGGAGCUGUUGUCGUAGACAUCGACGGUGACGGAAGUUUCAUGAUGAACGUCCAAGAAUUAGCAACAAUCCGUGUAGAGAAUCUUCCCAUCAAGAUACUGUUGUUAAAUAAUCAGCAUUUAGGCAUGGUUGUUCAAUGGGAAGAUAGAUUUUGCAAGGCAAACAGAGCUGAUUCGUAUUUGGGCAACCCGUCCAACAAGUCUGAGGUGUUCCCAAACAUGUUGAAAUUCGCAGAAGCAUGCGAAAUACCUGCCGCUCGCAUUACAAAGAAGGAAGAUCUGAGAGAAGCGAUUUGCAAAACGUUGGAAACAUCCGGACCUUACUUCUUAGACGUAAUCAUCCCGCAUCAAGAACAUGUCUUGCCUAUAAUCCCCACAGGAGGGACUUUCAAAGAUGUGAUUACUGAGGGUGAUGGAAGAACAAAAUAUUAAUUUUAAUAAACAUCAAACAUGUGUUAGUCAUAAUGUAUUUACGAGCACUAGUCAAUAAGCAUUGCUAAUUUUCUGAACAGAUUAUGCAUGCAUGCAAGUAUGUACACAUACAUAUGAAUGUACGUUGAAUGAAGUCUUCUCACUAUGUUUUGUCAUCUUUUGUUUGAUUUUAGAAAUGUUAUACUUACAAAGUGUUAUACUCAGUCAGAAGUUAAUAAAAAAAAAGGCACAUCAAGAGGAAGGUAUUGGAUACCGGAGAAAGUUCAAACAAAUUAAAUUAUGAAGAAGUGAAAAGUGAUAGGGUCGAAAUGUGAAUAUUCAAAAAUUGAGAAGUUAAAGUGUAAAUUAAAAAAAUUAAAGGAUUAAAAGUGAAAAUAACCAAAAAGAGGAAAGGUUAAUAUAAAAUUUGAGAAAGAUAAUUUUAGAGAAAAUUACCAAAAUACCUUUAAAUGUGUGGAUAAAUUGUGACCACUAAAUUUGCUUAGUGUUGAAGUAUAAUAUAUGAGCCUUUGAAUUAUAAUCAUGAUGUUGAUGAAAUUUAUAUUAUUUGUUUAGUUAAUUGUUAUAUCAUUUGACUCGAAAAGGUUCGAAUAUUUUUCGUUCGUAACUGAACUUUAAAGGAAGUUUAGAUAUGAUUUGAUUACUUUCAAGAGAAUUUAUUUAUGCUAAAACAAGUUUUGAAAAUUGAUGUUCAAGUUAAGUAGUCUUAGUGACCAAAUGUUACCUUCCUUACUUGAGAUGCAUCGGUUCAUUUGCGUUACAACCAGUAGUGGCGAAUUCGGGGUGCUGAUAGGGGCCUCGGCUUCCCUAAAAUGAAAAAUUUUUAUUUAGGUCCCAUAAAAUUUUAAAUUUAUAAUGGUAAAUUUGCACUUUGACUCUCGAAAAUGAUAAAAAUUUGAUUUAAUCAUUUGAAAAUUAUAAAGAUAUAAGCUAUUAAAAUGGUAGAAUUACAUUUUUACUAUCUUAAAACUAUACCAUUUAAUUUUGCCCCUCACACCCAGCCUGGUGUGCCAAGGCUGCCAACAAAUUCUCAGCUAAGUCCAUUUCAUAAUGCAUUUUAUGGUGCUGGUUCGGGUCUUAUCUAAGGUGGUUUCAGUGCAUAUGGAGAGAAAAUUUCGAGUUCAAGUUCUGAGUACGUCCAAAGCAAUGCAAAUAACAUGCUGGUGCAGCUACCACUACAAUAUGCUUAAAUAAUGUAUUACUUGUACUCCUUGCUGCAUCAUAGUAAUAUGUGUCUUCUUGAAGUUCCUGUAUCAAAAUCCCUUUUCUACGCAUAUCCAGACAUGUAUGAUCCUAUAAGGAUCCGUUGUACUAAAUGGCUCUGACUAUUACCUGAACUGAUAUUGAACUAAGGAUAAUAAAAAGACCAAAACCAAACUAGCAUUAUCUGUCUGUUGAGUUUCUCGUAUUCUUAUUGUUCGGCUUACUUCCGCAAGUCAUGCUGCUGAAGGUAACAUUACUCCCAUUGCCUUUGCUUGACGUUCUGGUUCAUGCAGGGUAUACUUUCAUGGUUAUCUGUUUGGCUGUCCUUGGAAAGAUUGUAUGGAGAAACUCGUACUACUUUUUGGUGCUGUGGAUGUACUUAUGCGUGGGAGUCUUCUUGGUGAAGGCGAUGAAGCGAGUCCUCUUCUCCGAGGUUAGAAUUUACGAUUUUAGUUUUUGAUAAUGAUAAAUGCUGAAACUAUCAAAUGAAAAAUGGAAGAUCACCUUCAGCAGUGGUAUAUAAGUCUGAGGAAGUCAAAUUUCAGCUCCAUUUGUUGCUUCAUUUUCAUCUCGGGGUCCGAAUCGGGGCUGAGGGAGCCUUCUCAAGGUAUAUAACUAUAAGCUUUGAAUUCUGUCUUUAAACCGGACCGUCUUGUCCCUCGACCAUCAAGUGCUUCAUAACUAAACCAAUAGUCUCUUUUGUACCCCGGUGCAGUGGCUGCAUACACUUGUAAAGUCACACGCAGGGUUCAAAGGUGACACCCGCGUAUGAGGCAGUUGCACGGACUGCCCUCGUGCUGCAGGUGUUGCAGCCUAUAUAAAAUCAUUUCCCCCUACUUGAACACAGCACUAUCAAAUCUGCAAUUGUGACCACAGGUAAAGAUGUUAUUCAUUCUUAAUGUAAUUCGCUACUUACAUUGUUAUCAUCCCUUACACUCCUACUUGCAAUAUAUGAUAAUCUAGCAAACCGAUGAACUGGACGGUAAACAACGAUGCCGAGUUCGCCUAUGGUGCCAGUCAUCUGAAUCUUGCAACAACUGAAAAUCCGGGCCUAGUCUACGACUUUGACAAGAUGUCAUGUACAAUUUCUAUGCCAUGGAGGCCUCAUUUAGUUGGCACAAAAUCGAUAAAUGGAUCCUCAAUGCUUCCUAGAUUCGGCUACGAUGCUCCUACCGACCCAUUGGUGCAACCUCAACAUGAAAAACGGCAAACAGUCAACUGUGGGUGUUUUCAAGCGAAGAGUCCCCAGUAUAGGUCCUCCAUCUAUGUACAAUGCUAUACCAUUAAGGCUCUUAAAGGACUGCAAAUCACGGUUAAAUCAACGAGCCUCCUCUUCACUUAUCCGUUGCAGAAUCAGAGUUCUAAGGUUAUAGUUAGGCUAAUAGAAGGAUUUAAUUGAUAUAAUACUAAUAACUUGAGGACUUAAUUAGAAUAUUUUAAAGUUUUAGGAUUAAUUAAGAUUAGGUCAUAGUUUAGGGACUUCUUGUGUAAUUAAUCCAAUAUUUUAGGGAACUUUAAAAGGCUUCUAAAUUUGUUUUCCACAUCAAAGAAGAGUUCAUUGCCAAACUCCCAUUGACCAUGGCGGCUACCACUGCAAAUACACCAAUACUCAAGCGUUCUCCUUUAGCUUCCUCCUCCAAAUCUUCAAUACCUAUUUCCAAAUCCGUCCUCCACUUUCGAACAAUCCCUCGAAAGCUCACGCCGCCACGUUCCCUCUCCGUUUCCAGCUCUCUUUCACAAUCAAAUUCCACCCCCGGAUCCACCGCCUCCUCCGUCGCCCCAACGAAGGCCCCUACCCAUGAUUUCAUUUCCCGUUAUGCCCCCGACGAGCCUCGAAAAGGCGCCGAUAUCCUCGUUGAAGCCCUUGAACGUGAAGGGGUCAAGGACGUAUUUGCUUACCCAGGUGGAGCUUCACUGGAGAUCCACCAAGCUUUAACACGAUCCAAACUGAUCCGAAAUGUCCUUCCACGACACGAACAAGGUGGGGUUUUCGCCGCCGAGGGUUAUGCUCGCUCCUCCGGCCUUCCCGGCGUUUGCAUCGCAACUUCCGGCCCGGGAGCAACUAACUUAGUGAGCGGCCUAGCUGAUGCGAUGAUCGAUAGUAUUCCUUUAGUAGCAAUCACCGGCCAAGUCCCUCGGAGAAUGAUCGGCACUGAUGCUUUCCAAGAAACUCCCAUUGUUGAGGUAACAAGGUCUAUUACAAAACAUAAUUAUCUUGUUCUUGAUAUAGAUGAUAUACCUAGGAUCGUUAGUGAAGCUUUCUUUUUAGCUACAUCUGGCAGACCAGGUCCUGUUUUAAUCGAUGUACCUAAGGAUAUACAACAACAGCUUGCUGUUCCUAAUUGGAACCAACCUUUAAGAUUGUCUGGUUAUAUGUCUAGGUUGCCUA
rnacentral:lncRNA from 1 species